rnacentral:rRNA from 1 species
GACGAACGCUGGCGGCGUGCCUAAUACAUGCAAGUCGAACGCAUUUUCUUUCACCGUAGCUUGCUACACCGAAAGAAAAUGAGUGGCGAACGGGUGAGUAACACGUGGGUAACCUGCCCAUCAGCGGGGCAUAACACUUGGAAACAGGUGCUAAUACCGCAUAAUUCCAUUUACCGCAUGGUAAAUGGAUGAAAGGCGCUUUUGCGUCACUGAUGGAUGGACCCGCGGUGCAUUAGCUAGUUGGUGGGGUAACGGCCUACCAAGGCUGCGAUGCAUAGCCGACCUGAGAGGGUGAUCGGCCACACUGGGACUGAGACACGGCCCAGACUCCUACGGGAGGCAGCAGUAGGGAAUCUUCGGCAAUGGACGCAAGUCUGACCGAGCAACGCCGCGUGAUUGAAGAAGGUUUUCGGAUCGUAAAACUCUGUUGUUAGAGAAGAACAAGGAUGAGAGUGGAAAGUUCAUCCCUUGACGGUAUCUAACCAGAAAGCCACGGCUAACUACGUG